rnacentral:rRNA from 1 species
UACGUAGGGGGCAAGCGUUGUCCGGAAUCAUUGGGCGUAAAGCGCGCGUAGGCGGCCCGGUCAGUCCGUUGUGAAAGUCAAAGGCUCAACCUUUGAAUGCCGACGGAUACUGCCGGGCUAGAGUCCGGAAGAGGCGAGUGGAAUUCCUGGUGUAGCGGUGGAAUGCGCAGAUAUCAGGAGGAACACCUAUAGCGAAGGCAGCUCGCUGGGACGGUACUGACGCUGAGGCGCGAAAGCGUGGUGAGCGAACAGG